rnacentral:ncRNA from 1 species
CAAAGGUUUGGUCCUGGCCUUCUUAUUAGCUAUUAGUAGACUUAUACAUGCAAGUAUCAGCACACCAGUGAGAAUGCCCUUUAAUUCCAUGAGACUAAAAGGCGCGGGUAUCAAGCGCACAAACGUAGCUCAAGACACCUUGCUCAGCCACGCCCCCACGGGAUACAGCAGUAACAAAAAUUAAGCCAUGAACGAAAGUUUGACUUAGUUAUACUUCUCAGAGUUGGUUAAUUUCGUGCCAGCCACCGCGGUCAUACGAAUAACUCAAGCUAAUAAGUUUCGGCGUAAAGCGUGAUUAGGAGAAUAUUAAUAAUAGAAUUAAACCUUUUCUAUGCUGUAGAAAGCUAAAGAAAUGAUCGAAAUAAACUACGAAAGUGAUCCUAUUGCUUCUGAACUCACGAUAGCUAGGGGACAAACUGGGAUUAGAUACCCCACUAUGCCUAGCCCUAAACUUUGGUAAUCAAAAACAAGAUUACCCGCCAGAGAACUACUAGCCAACGCUUAAAACUUAAAGGACUUGGCGGUGCUUCAAACCCACCUAGAGGAGCCUGUUAUGUAAUCGAUGAACCCCGAUAUACCCCACCAUCAUUUGCUAAGUCAGUCUAUAUACCGCCAUCUUCAGCAAACCCUGAAAAGGUAAAACAGUAAGCCUAAUCAUCAACCCAUAAAAACGUUAGGUCAAGGUGUAACCAAUAUGAUGGAAUCUAAUGGGCUACAUUUUCUCCACCCAGAAUAGUCUUAACGAAGGCCUUUAUGAAAUCUAAAGGAUAAAGGAGGAUUUAGCAGUAAACUGAGAAUAGAGUGCUCAAUUGAAACUGGCCAUGAAGUACGCACACACCGCCCGUCACCCUCCUCAACCUCAACUACAAUGUUUUAUAUAUAAGCUCAAACAUUACCAGAAUUUAGAGGAGACAAGUCGUAACAAGGUAAGCAUACUGGAAAGUGUGCUUGGAGAACUC